AUUGAGUAGAGCGUGAGAUGGCGAUACUCAGAGUUCGUCGUUUGAGCAAAUCUGUACACAUACAGCCAAUAUAUAAAUGUAUGUAUAAACAUACACUGUACACUCACUGUAUAUACUGUACACAUAAUAGAACAACAGCUAUAUAUAGUUGAAAAAAAAAACAACAUUCAUACGCACACACGAACAUUAGUACAUACACACUCACAACACACAUAUAUAGUAUGUGUGUGUAUAUGUGUGUGUGUGUUAAUCACUGCUGAAAUCCAUUAAUAACACACAUGCUCUUUCUACAACGAGUACACAUAUACAGACCAUACCCUAGUCACAUAGACACAUUCAUUCAAACAUACACACACACACACACUGAGAUAUUCACAGCACAAUAGUCAAACACAGCUGAAAUACAUAUACACACACACACAGAGACAAAACCACGCUUCUUUACUAAUGCACGUACACACACAUACAUCUAGACCACACAUACUAGUUACAUCGCACAGUGACGUAUUCAUUCACACACACACACACACAUGUAUUUAUAUAUAUAUAUAUAGAUACACAUACGUAGCUAUGUCUAAAUAUAUACACUCACUGAAGCAAUAGUCGUUUAUAAUGUGAAAGCAGCUACACGGAUUUUUAAACAUGGGCACCGUUUAGUUGUAUAUACACUCACAAAUUCUCAACACACAGUCGCAAUAUACAUAUAUUAUAUAUAUAGAUAUAUCUAUAUAUAUAACUAUGUAUGUAUGUAUUUGUAGAUUUGGAUAGUGAGUGUAUAUGUGGCUGUGUGUGUGUGUGAGAGACAGUGUAAAGACCAACCCUUGCUGUCAAGUGUGUGUAAACGAUGCGAAAGGGAGACGUGUGUAGAGGCGAGACGAAACGAGGAAUUCAAAGAAAGACCUACAUGCAAGGAUUACAUAUUUCUGACCAAUGUCUCCAUACCAUUGUAUCUUUGAGGGAAGCAAGGUUUCAGAUUGAUCCGUGCUGCUGUAUCAGAGAACAAUGUCUAUACAGAAAGGACACAAAAAGAAAGAGAUUAAAACAGAUCCGGCCAGUUUCGAAGGAAAAGGCUUGUUCUUCACGGCGAAAUUCAUCGGGGUCUCUGACGUUGCAGAUUUUCGAGGGAACGCCAUGUGUCAGGAGACAAUGCAGAAGUUAAAGGCUGCCGUGAAGAGCUCUGGAAAACAUAAGUUAAAGAUUCUAGUCAACAUAUCUCUGGAAGGGAUUAAGUUGAUCGAGGAGAAGACAAUGGCUGUGAACUAUGAACAUAUUGUAAGUCGAAUAUCAUUUAUUUCAAUUGACACUACGGAUUCCAGGGCCUUUGGCUACGUCUUUGAACCAGGAGACGGCACCCACAAAUUCUUUGCAAUCAAGACUGAGAAGUCGGCUGGACAUGUUAUCAUCGCCAUAAGGGAUUUGUUUGAGACAGUUUUUGAGAUGAAGAAAAAAGAGAGAGACGAGGCUGCCCAAAAAGAGGCAGAAGAGAAGGAUAAAUCAGCAGUGUGCAGCAUGGCUGAUGGUGCUGCACCAGUCACAGCCGCAGCUGACAAAGACACGACUGAUGAAGCAGAUUAUGGUUAUUCUGUACCUUCAAAUAACAAACCUGUGCCGCAAGCUGCUGUUACUCCAAAUAUCAUAGACCUUGAUACUGAUUUAGAGUACAUUCAACAGGGAAUGGACUCUAUGGGUACUGCUUUGGAGAGCUUCGAUGACUUUCCCUUCGGGCAGGUGACAACAGGGGACACAACUGCUGAUCCGUGGAACAUAAACAAUUCUAAACAGUGCAUUGGGAAUGCAUCUGUGUCGAUUGCUGCUGCAGCUACUGCCGCUGCUCCUGUAGUGUUGCUCCCUCCUCCGCCGGCUUCACCUCGCGUUCCCAUCGGCAGCGCUAUGCCACAGGCACCGGCAGCUUUACCACCCGGUCAGUGUAGUCUUGCGGCCAACCUAUUUCCAGCGUCCAGUGCCUUUCCCUCUGCAGUGUCUUCCAAUGUUCCUGCUCAGCCGUUUCCUGUUUCAGUUCCGUUAACUGUUAACCCGGCAGUUCCAAUAACUGUUAACCCAGCAGUUCCAAUAACUGUUAACCCAGCAGUUCCAAUAACUGUUAACCCAGCAGUUCCAAUAACUGUUAACCCAGCAGUUCCAAUGACUGCUAACCCAGCAGUUCCGAAACCAAUUGAUCCAGCGACAACCCCACCUGAGAUGCCAACCAACAUGACCUGCUCUCUACCCAUUGUUACAGAUCCAUUUGGGGAUAAACUGUUUGUUUCCGCUGUACCUGCACAAGCACCCAACCAAACACCCUUUACAGCCUCUACGUCUACCACACCACCAACUACAGACAAUACUGUACCUUUUGCUGCAUUUCCAGUGAUGAAGCCACCACGUGGCAACACAUUUCCAGUUGCAACACAAAACGUGGCUGCAAAUUUUGCUGCCCAGCAACCGUUUGCUGCAUUCCCUCCUGACCCUGCACAUCCUGUGGCAGGGAAUGCAUUUUCAGCUGCACCACAGCCAGCUGCAUUCUCAGCUGCGUUCUCUGUUAAACCACCGACCCCGGUUACUGGAUUUCCUGUUGGGCAACAAGCAUCAUUUGCUGCAUUCCCAGAGGGGCCACAACCAGCUUUUCUGCCCCUCUCGUCUCCUGACAGCAGUCAGAGAAGCACUCCGAGUAAAUUCGAUGCUAUCUCUUUGGACAGUUCUUUCACUAGCGUCUUCUCUCAGCAGAGUAAUGAGAAACUGGAAAGUGCUUCAACUUUGGCAAAUAAUAAACCAACAGACACUGGUACCAAUCCAGUUCCUCAGACUGACAAGCUUUUCCAGGAUCUCUGCAAUUUCGGCAGCAAUCAGCACCACAAGAAGCCAGCAGAGUUAUUUCCAAAGUUGGAGCCGCCACCAAGCAAAAAAUUAAAUGAAUUACUUGAAGAAAGUAUUAAAUGUAAAGAAUUGCAUGUUCAGAGUUCUAAAACUGAAAAUCCUCUCCCACCCCAGCAGCAGCAGCAGCAACAGCAGCAGCAGCCAUCAGAGCAAGAUGCUACCCCAUCAAAUAAUGACCAGGCAAGUGAAUAUUCAAUAACCUCAGCUCUUCCAGCUGAAAACUUGUUACCUGAUCCCGUGUGCUUUCCUGAACCCACCAAAUUUGAUCAACCCUCAGUUUCUGCUGCUUCUUUUUCCGGUUCCGAUUCCCAGUCUUCUAAUGUCUCUAACGACCAGCCCCAUUCUGAUUCUCCCAGUAUUUUCAGCUUCAGUGGCAACAACCCCACAGAGGUUACCUAUGCAAUGACGAAACUCAAACUUUCAGAUGUUGACUUUAAUAAUCCCCCCUCUCACCCACCUCCGCAACUCCCUUCCCAUCUUCUUGCUGCUGUUUCUGGUCACAACUCGGGGUCAGAGUCUGUGUGUAGCAUUUCGCCCUUUCCAGAUGACCACUGGGCCAUAUCUGAUGACGAAUUUAACCUCCCUUCCCCAACUGUGCCACCCCCUCCACUACCAACAGGUGCUUCCCUUAAUUUCGAACCUGACCAAGCACCAGCUCCCCCACCCCGCCCAAGGACAUCAGAUAUUACAAGAACUGCCAAACCUCCUCCACUUCCUGUUCGUCCAAAACGUACCCUUUCUUCCAGUUCAAGCUUACAAAGUAUGGGAAAAUCCAACUCCCCAGUGUCAUCUGUUGUUUCCCUGGAAGGGACAGUUUUGGCCCAUGGGGCCAUUUCAGAUUGUUCUUUUACAUCACUACAAGACUCAGACGUGUCUACCAAUAGUCUUCCAACGACAAAACUUGCUGACACCAAAGUUAAUACAACAAAGUUUACUGACCGAGGGUCAUCUGUCUCAUCUCCUCUUAGUGUUGCCACUGGCAACAGCAACUCUUCACCCCCUCCUUGGUCUGCAUUUACUGAAAAUGACAAUUCAAGCUCACCUUUUAGUAACCAAAGUUUUUCAAGUGGCGGCCGUGAUGUAUUUGCUUCAAAUUCGUCACAGACUGCCAUUGGUACUGCUAGUUCCCAUGACAGUGGUUGGCCCAACAAUAACCCUUUCAUGUCUAAAGUUAAUACCAGUCCUUCAGUGAGGAACUCUUCAUCACCAGAUCCUUUCAGUGGCCCCUACACCAAAAUAGUUAACAAACGUUCAAAACAGACUCCUCAGACAACCUCCCAGUCUGUAGAAUCUGUUUGUAGUUCAACAUCAGCUCAAAUCCAUAAUAAAUCCAGCCAGCCAGUGUUCAACAGUGUGGAUCCAUUUCGUGUCCUUCAUUGCACAAAGCCACAAUCAAACCAUAACCAGACAAACACAAACAUUUCUGGAUCGUUCUGUAGCGAACUUAACAAUGACUUAUCUGAUCCCUUUGUUGUUCCCCUCCACCUCAAACUACAAACUGAGAAGUCCCCAGUUGACCCUUUUGUGAUACAAACUAAUGUUAAUCUAACACAAAACAAUACUCAAGUGACUCAGUUUUUUCCUUCGACAAAAAAUACCGAAAGGUCAGUUCCAGAGACUGACCUUUCCAUAUACAACAGUCAAACAACUGACAUUGAAAAUGACCCUUUUACAAACCUUAGUCGAAACAGUGGACACUCUGGCAACGUACCAUCAGAUUUAUUUUCCUUUCCCAGCCUCAAUCCCGCUGAAUACUCUCAGACCCAAACUGACCCUUUUGACGCAUUUAAUCAAUGGCCAGUUAAUACAAAAUUCAGUGUGGACAUUGAUAAAAGCAAUGGUCAUUGACCAAGAAGAUCCAGACAUUCUUCAGAUGCAUUUAUUAUUAAUGGUAGAUGGUAGAUCUUUCAUCCAACCGGCUGUGCUCAGCCUCAAUCCCCACGCAGGGGGAGCAAGUUCAGACUGCUAGUUGCCAGGAACCAAUAUAUUCGAUUCCGGUAAGGAAAAUUUAGACAUUCAUUGAGACAUGCAUGGGAAACAAAGCUGUUGGAAUGGAAGAAAUAUAAGCAGCCGGUUUAGCCAGAAUUACAAGAAUUUUUACCUUAGCACAACCAGAAAUGGCUCUUGUUGCUAAGGAAAUAUUACAGAAAACGAAAGAGUGAAUUUAUUAAAAGAAAAAUGUCCAAGAAGUUAUUUCCGAAAGUAAACGACAAUGUAGUAAAGUUUGUCUCAAUAUAAAACUGGAUUGGAAAUUAAUUUUUGAAGUUUCCUUGAAUAUAAUUAUAUAUUUGUAUUUUAGCAAAUUAAUGGAUUAAAAACCCACAAAAGACUGA